AGUGAACGCUGGCGGUAGGCCUAACACAUGCAAGUCGAACGGCAGCACAGUAAGAGCUUGCUCUUACGGGUGGCGAGUGGCGGACGGGUGAGGAAUACAUCGGAAUCUACUUUUUCGUGGGGGAUAACGUAGGGAAACUUACGCUAAUACCGCAUACGACCUACGGGUGAAAGCAGGGGAUCUUCGGACCUUGCGCGAUUGAAUGAGCCGAUGUCGGAUUAGCUAGUUGGCGGGGUAAAGGCCCACCAAGGCGACGAUCCGUAGCUGGUCUGAGAGGAUGAUCAGCCAGACUGGAACUGAGACACGGUCCAGACUCCUACGGGAGGCAGCAGUGGGGAAUAUUGGACAAAGGGCGCAAGCCUGAUCCAGCCAUACCGCGUGGGUGAAGAAGGCCUUCGGGUUGUAAAGCCCUUUUGUUGGGAAAGAAGAACAGCAGGUUAAUACCCCGCUGUUCUGACGGUACCCAAAGAAUAAGCACCGGCUAACUUCGUG
rnacentral:rRNA from 1 species